rnacentral:rRNA from 1 species
AACGCGAAGAACCUUACCUGGGCUCGAAAUGUAGUGGAAUCCGGUAGAAAUAUCGGCGCCCCGCAAGGGGCCGCUAUAUAGGUGCUGCAUGGCUGUCGUCAGCUCGUGUCGUGAGAUGUUGGGUUAAGUCCCGCAACGAGCGCAACCCUUAUCUUCAGUUGCUACCAUUUAGUUGAGCACUCUGACGAAACCGCCUCGGAUAACGGGGAGGAAGGUGGGGAUGACGUCAAGUCCUCAUGGCCUUUAUGUCCAGGGCUACACACGUGCUACAAUGGCCGGUACAAACCGUCGCAAACCCGUGAGGGGGAGCUAAUCGGAAAAAGCCGUCCUCAGUUCGGAUUGCAGUCUGCAACUCGACUGCAUGAAGCUGGAAUCGCUAGUAAUCGCGGAUCAGAACGCGCGGUGAAUACGUUCCCGGGCCUUGUACACACCGAGACGUA